AGUGAACGCUGGCGGUAGGCCUAACACAUGCAAGUCGAACGGCAGCACAGUAAGAGCUUGCUCUUACGGGUGGCGAGUGGCGGACGGGUGAGGAAUACAUCGGAAUCUACUUUUUCGUGGGGGAUAACGUAGGGAAACUUACGCUCAUACCGCAUACGACCUACGGGUGAAAGCAGGGGAUCUUCGGACCUUGCGCGAUUGAAUGAGCCGAUGUCGGAUUAGCUAGUUGGCGGGGUAAAGGCCCACCAAGGCGACGAUCCGUAGCUGGUCUGAGAGGAUGAUCAGCCACACUGGAACUGAGACACGGUCCAGACGCCUACGGGAGGCAGCAGUGGGGAAUAUUGGACAAUGGGCGCAAGCCUGAUCCAGCCAUACCGCGUGGGUGAAGAAGGCCUUCGGGUUGUAAAGCCCUUUUGUUGGGAAAGAAAAGCAGCAGGUUAAUACCCCGCUGUUCUGACGGUACCCAAAGAAUAAGCACCGGCUAACUUCGUG
rnacentral:rRNA from 1 species